AUUAUAGUAACAUAGUGUUCUGCCUCGUGCUCUGUUUUCCCCCAGGAUUUCCGGAUUGUUCCUUUGCUCUUGGAUUACUCGGCCUUAGUUGGAUUUACCCCCUGUUUGGAUUACCUUUUCCUAUUGUUUGGACAUUUCUCCUCCUCCUCUUCCUGGACCCCAGCAGGUGCCCAGGACCACAACAUGCAGGAGGAGGAAGGCGGCUGUAGCUGCUGCUGCUACAGGAGCGGGACGCUGCCUGGUAGCAAAACCCACAGAGAUGCAAACAUUCAGUUCAUGUUGAACAAGACACAAGAAAAGAGUGGGAGCUGUGAGACAUGCAAUUGCCGGGUAGCUAGGCAACCCUUGAGAGCUGCUCUGGAAGACCUUGAGUUGUCUGCCAUAAUAUCGCAGGCAAGUAUUACUGUUUGGAAGCUAGCUGGGACACAGGAUCUUUUUUUUAAGUGUCAGAGCAAGUUGAUGGGAUAAAUCAGAAUUUUUGGGGAGUGAAUGAAUUUUGGAUAGGAUUCUUAAGUAGGCCACCUUGAAAAUUAUGCUCAGCUCCAAAAAGAAAUUUCAUCAUGUACUCCAAUGAAUAUUCAAAGUGGUUUUAAUAUUAAAUUGUUUAUAAUAUGCUAUACAAUACAGUGCUGUAUGUCUUGUUCAAGCAACAUUUUAAAACACUGAACUAUUUUAUACUAUAUAUCUCAGCUCUGGUUUAUUAUUCAUAGCUGUUUGGCUACACAACAAGGACAUCCGAAACCUUCUGCUCCUGCUCAUGCACAAAUUUCGGACUUCAUGGUACUCGUUGGCAGCCAGAUAAAAGCAAAGCAAAGUGAUUCACCUGUGGCAAGAGGAGCCCUUUGCUUUUAGGGGUCACUCACCCACAUAUGAUGUGGGUUCAAAGCAUCCUUACCCUAGAGAGCGAGACAGAAGUUCGGACAGAGACACAGAGAGAGAGGCAGCAUAGAGAGAUGUAGUAAAGAGAGGAAAUGAAAAAGGUGUGUCGGAGGAGAAAGGGAAAGAGAAGAUGGGAAAGCAGUGACACAGGAAAUGGAGAAAGAAUGGGGCAGGGAAAGUGCACUGGACAGGAGCAGGUAUAGAGCAGGUAUAGAGAUUUCAGUGUGUGUGUGUGUGUGUGUGUGUGUGUGUGUGUGUGUGUGUGUAUAUGUGUGGGGGGAGGGGGGUGAAGUUAGGUGCUGGCUAUGAGAGCAACAGCAGUGUGGGCACUCAAGUAGAAUAUUUUUACAGCAGGAGAGCCUCUAAGUGUCCCUGUUAUUAGGUGUGUUUGUGUUGCCUAGCAAGGAAACAAGGGUCUUACGGUACAUUAUCAAUCUUCUCUAAAGAUGUCAGAAAAACAAAAUGUUAAUGAGCAUGUGUCCAUCACUUUUAAAAAUAGCAUAAUGUGAAUCAAACCGCUCUGACUAUCUGACAAUCAAACAAUGUCAAAUGACAGCAGUAACAAACCACUUAUUCUUGUUUUCAUCAUUUAAAGUAUAGGUUUCAGUGGUAUAUUCACGAUGCUCAGAGAAAAUUGUUCCAGAUAUAUAAGGAUUUAUCUGAUUUAUCUAAAUUAUACACAUACACAAGAGCUUUGUGUGCACAGUAACGUUCUAUUUACAUUAUCAUUAGCUAUACAAAAGGGUAGAUUUAAUGGUUUACUUGAAGAGAAAAAGCUGUUUGUUGUGAUUUUGGUGAGAUUGAAGAUGAAACCAUUUUGUGUUUUGUUGCUCAUUAUAUGAUGAUUUACAAGCUACACUUUUUUUGUAAAAUGUUCUUCAUUUCUGAUGAGUUCUUCUGAUUAAGUGAAUACAAAAAAUGUAUCGUGUUUUUGGAGGGGUCUUUUAUGUGGCUGAUUUUAUUUGUAGGGCUUAGGACAAAAUUUAAAGUUGCAAUGUAAUGUUAUAUGCAUAAGAAGUUAAGUUCUUGUCAGACAAAUGUCUUUGUACUGCAGCUGUGUUUAUGUUGUCUUAUAAGUUCACGUGGGCUGGGCACUCACAUGUGCAUGACACAAUAAAGAACAUGUUGCCCAUAACUUGUCUUUUCCUCACCUGAACUCAUCAAAAGCAGGGGAUACCUUAGAAGGCAGUGUUGUCAUGGAUGAACCAAGAACCCUCCUCAGGCAGUGUGCCUCCUGUCUGGCCCAUUUAAUGAACUGCACCUGGAGUACCCAAAGUGCAUCAAAAAUAGGUGAUGCUGAACCUGGAUAAAGGUGAACCCACACAGACACAAAAUUCUAAUUCUAAAAAAUGUUCCUCCAAGAAAAGGGCUGGCCUGUCCUGACAAAAUGUAUGGUACACAGCAUGAUUUGUAUGUGUCAACAAACAAUGUGUGUUUUAUUUGUGUUAUGUCAUUUAAA